UAACUGAAGAGUUUGAUCAUGGCUCAGAUUGAACGCUGGCGGCAGGCUUAACACAUGCAAGUCGAGCGGGGGAAGGUAGCUUGCUACCGGACCUAGCGGCGGACGGGUGAGUAAUGCUUAGGAAUCUGCCUAUUAGUGGGGGACAACAUCUCGAAAGGGAUGCU
rnacentral:rRNA from 1 species